GGCAUUAGCCUUUCCGUAGGAGCUAGGCUCUGUGGCAGUAGGAUUCAUUCCUUCUAUAGUUAUCUUUUUUUUUUUUUUGACAAAUAAUACAAAUCAUUCCCUACUCUAUUUUAUAAUUCUCUUCCUUACUUUUCUGUUCCCUAACAAAUUGGUCCAACCUGCAGGAUCUUCGGAGAGGAGAGGAGGAAGGAAGGAAUAUUCUGAGGUGACGUGACCAGUGAAUGCCACUGAAGAAGAUGGAAGCAAAAGCUGCUACACUGGAGACGGAAGUCGCUGGCCUCAGGACGGCGAAGCACGCAAUGCAACUCACAGCAGAGGAGAAUCAUGAGAAGCUAGUAGUGUUGUUGUCCAAAAACAACAGUGAUU
rnacentral:lncRNA from 1 species